AUAAAGUUUGAUUCUUGCUUUAAACUUAAUUAUAUCAAUAAUUUACAUGUAAAUUUUUGUGUGUAAUAAUUUUUCUAAAUGAUUUUAUUUUAUUCGCAGUAUUUAAUUCUACUAAUUUACUUUUGUUUGAAAUUGUUAAUUGAUUAUUUAAAUGACUAAUUUUGUGCCAGCAUUCGCGGUUAAACAAUUAUUUGUUAUUAAGUUUUUAUCUUUUAGUAUUUAUUAUUUUAUUUUGAUUAUUGCUUAUUAUUUAAUUGGGUGAAAUUAUUUAUUAAUAUUUUUUUCUUUUUAAUAUAUUUGUCUGAGAAAUUUUUUUUAUAAACUAGGAUUAGAUACCCUAUUAUUGAAAAUGUAAAUUUUUUAGGUUGAUUAUUAUUAGUUAUGAUCUUUAAAUUCAAAGAAUUUGGCGGUAAUUAAGUCUUUUUAGAGGAAUCUGUUUCUUAAUUGAUAAUCCACGAUUGAUUAUACUUUUAUUUUACUUGUAUAUCUCUGUCAUUGAAUGUAUUAUUAGAUAUUUAUUUUCUUAAUUCUUAUUUAGGAUUAAUGUCAGGUCAAGGUGCAGUUUAUAUUAAAGUGAAUAUGGAUUACAUUAUUAUUAUUUUGGAUUUUUAUUUGUAAUUAAUUUUUUGAAAUUGGAUUUAAUAGUAAUUUUAAAUAGUAAUUUUACUUUGAUUUUAGCUCUUAAUUAUGCACAUAUCGCCCGUCGCUCUCAUUAAUUUGAGAUAAGUCGUAACAAAGUAAUUUUAUCGGAAGGUGAAGUUAGAAAGUA
rnacentral:ncRNA from 1 species